GGGUAGCUUAGGGACAGUUACCGGGGGAACGGGUAGCUCUGGGACGGUGACCGGAGGAACGGGUAGCUUGGGAACGGUCACUGGAGGAACUGGUAGCUUAGGUACGGUCACCGGAGGAACCGGUAGCUUAGGUACAGUCACUGGAGGAACGGGUAGCUUAGGUACGGUCACCGGAGGAACCGGUAGCUUGGGUACAGUCACUGGAGGAACGGGUAGCUUAGGUACAGUCACUGGAGGAACCGGUAGCUUAGGGACGGUCACCGGAGGAACUGGUAGUUUGGGAAUGUGUACUGGGGGUUUAGGGGAGGGCUUUCCACCCUUCCUGGGGUUACAUGAACCGCAUGAGAGGGAAUGUUG
rnacentral:lncRNA from 1 species